AUUAGUUUAAGCAGACUGAUUGUCUAUUGUUGUGACUUAGAUGAUGAUCAGAUCACAUUUUAUGACCAAUUUGUGCAGAAAUCCAUAUCAUUCCAAAGGGUUCACAUACUUUUUCUUGCAACUGUAUUCAAAUAUCACUAAUAAGUUCAGGCUGGGCAUAUGCUGGACUUUAUCACCUCAAUACUGUGCAUGUAGAGAAUAAAAAAAAAAUAUUGAAAAUGAUCUACACAUUGUGUUAGCAAAUCCAAG